rfam:Arthrobotrys oligospora ATCC 24927 unplaced genomic scaffold scaffold00048, whole genome shotgun sequence.
GGCUCAAUGGUCAAAUAGGUUAAGACAUAGUACUUUCACUACUGAGGUGGGGAUUCGAGCUCCCCUUGAGCUA